UACGGAGGAUGCAAGCGUUAUCCGGAAUGAUUGGGCGUAAAGGGCUCGUAGGUGGCCAACUAAGUCAGACGUGAAAUCCCUCGGCUUAACCGGGGAACUGCGUCUGAUACUGGAUGGCUUGAGUUUGGGAGAGGGACGCGGAAUUCCAGGUGUAGCGGUGAAAUGCGUAGAUAUCUGGAGGAACACCGGUGGCGAAGGCGGCGUCCUGGACCAACACUGACACUGAGGAGCGAAAGCCAGGGGAGCAAACGGG
rnacentral:rRNA from 1 species